ACAACAGGAGGCUUCUGUGUCACCACCGUCACACCACUCACACCUGGAAACAAGAAGAUGACAUGGAGUUAAGAGAAACACACAGACUGAUGAAUCCAACAUGAGGAGGCUUCUGUGUCACCACCGUCACACCACUCACACCUGGAAACAACAAGAUGACAUGGAGUCAAGAGAAACACACAGACUGAUGAAUCCAACAUGAGAGAGCUGACACACUGACCACUUCAUUUGCAUGGAGCUAUAAAUGAAGAUUGGAGGUAUGCAGGUGCAUCCGGGGCAGAGGAAAGAGGCAGGAGAAGAGGGGGAGGUGUCGCUUCACUGACUCAGAGUGAAAACUCAUUGUCAUUUAUUACUCAUCUGUCUGAUUAUUUUAACAUCCUGAUUAUUGCAAAUGACUCAAAUAUAACCCUUGGAUUAUGUGCGUUUCAUGUUACUAACUUUUGUGUUCCCAUUCAAAACUGUUUGACCUUUGUUGGUCUAUUAUGCUCUGUGGACAGAGAAAUGUCUCACCAUUAAGUUUAUUGCCAUGCAUUUGUAACUUUGUAACUUUAUUCUCAAAAUUCAGUUUUAUCUUACUGACUCCAUUUUAGCAUUCAUUGUACUGAGUUAGCCUUACAGAUGUCCAAAAUCAAACUUUGAACAUGUAGAUAUUUUCCUGGACGUGGAGGACAGUGUUGUUACUUUAUUUUAAAAACUGCCCAAUUAUUUAUUCAU